rnacentral:misc_RNA from 1 species
GUGAACUUCAGAGAGACUGUCACUCAACGUGCUGAAUUUGAUUAUUUACAUAAAAAACAGACGGGAGGCCAAGGGCAGUAUGGACGAGUAUGUGGAUAUAUUGAACCUCUUCCUCAUGGAUCGUCGACUAAAUUUGAGUUUGAGAACAUAAUUGUUGGACAAGCUAUACCGGCAAAUUUUAUCCCAGCAAUCGAGAAGGGUUUUAGGGAAG